CAUAAGUGUCUGUAACUUAACCAACAGUUUUACAGCCUGUUCACUGAAAAUACCUGCUCAGAACAAGUAGUCUAGGCACUCUUACCUGUCUUCAAAACUGUCUGUAAUGUUUGUGCUGCCUGUAACCCAGAGACUACAUAAGUCACAAGGUCUCUCUGGCAAGUGGAAGAGCUCUUCUGAUUGGCUCCAGACCCACAGUCUCCAGAGCAUUGGGCUUUCCCUUUCACAGCUCCGAUAUCAAGGGACCAUCAAGACCUUAGCCAGAAGUGAUGGAAGCCUUACUAGACAGCUAGAAAUCAGCGACAAUGCGGUCAGAGAAUAUGAAUCUGAGCUCUACCAGGCCAUUGAGUUGUACCAUGGUAAGAUGAGGUGGCUCAACCAAGGAAGCAUGAAGGUGUUUGGGCUGGUAAAAGGGUCUAGAGUCGGAGUCAUUGUUGAUGUUUCUGAUGCCAACUGCACAGAGGAGAGACUAGUUGAUCUACAGGUGAACCUUCUGGCCCUGAUUGAGGAGCAGCUCAUUUGUAAGAGGCAGCUGUACCUGCUGUCCUUUGGCACUGAGAGCAACAGUCUUUGGGACAGCCCUGUAGAUGUCAAUCCCUUCAGACUACAGCAGGCCCGGAGGUGGGUUGAGGAGCUAAGGGCCGGGGGGGGCUGUAACGUCCUCCAGGCUUUGAAGAAAGGCUUCGGUUUUGGCUGCGCUCAACUCGACUACCUGGUCCUCAUCGUUGGCUCCAGCCCCAACCAGAGUUCAGAUGUGCUCAUAGAGUACAUCGAGCAAUGCAUGUUGGGAAGGUUGUUGUCAAUCCACGCUGUGUCCUACUGCAGCAGUAGCCCUGUUACAAUUCAUAUAGUGAAGACACUUGCUGAGGUGGUCAGAGGACGCUACCACAUCUUCUCAGCUUCCCUGGGUAUAGUGGGCAGCAGCACAGACAUGGACCUCCUGUGGGCAGAGGUGAAGGCGGCCAGGGAGCUGGUCUUUGACAUAGAAACACUGCGACAGGGACAGCUAGGGGACUUGGCUGUCACUGUGCCUCAGCAGAUUUGGACAGAGUUACGCUGUGUUCCCGACUCUCCCUCGCUACCUGAAUCACUGAAUCAUAAUGCUCCUCUCUGCAUCAAACCUCCUGGAAUCCAGCCCACCUCUUCAGCCUGUUGGCUCAAGAGCCACGGUUUGAGAGCUAAGAGACUGGGUCUGUACCAGGUUCUGUCUUCCAAUGCCUACUCUUCUCUGGAUAAGUUUGUACCCGUCCUCAAUAAGUCAGUCAGCUCAACAGUCCUGGAGAAGGCCAUGAUGCAGUGUGAGUGGCAUGAUGGGACUGUGAAGAAUGUUCACGUGGAACUACCAUCCCUACUCAACUACCAGCGACGGUUGCUGUCCGUGAUGUGUGUUCUGGAGAGGAGAGUAAGCUGGCUGGGCACUGGGAGCUGGCACAUCUGGGGGAGCGUGUGUGAGCAGAGGGUGCAGGUUCUAGUGGACUUGUCAGUACUGAACUCCGACCUCUCCAUUCACAUCCGACUCUCCCUGAGGGUUCUACUGGAGGAGCAGCUGGCCAACAAACAUGCAUUCAACAUUAUCUCGUUUGGUUCAGUUGUCAGACCCUGGAGAGAGAAUAUGGUCCCUCCAACCGCAGAAAACCUUCAGGAAGCCUGGCAGUGGGUGUUGGGUUUGCAGUGUACAGGCAGUAAGAACACCCUGGCGGUUCUGAGGCAGGCUCUGGAGGGAAGUCUACACGGAGCCAGUUCUCAUCCUUCCUCCCCUCCUAAUCCCCCUCUCUCCCAGGGGCUUUACCUCUUCACCAGUGGGGUGCCUGACCAGGAGAUGGAUGCGGUGUGUUCCUACGUGUCGGAGUGCUGCAGUGGCCGACCACUGUGUUUGCAUGUCUGUCUGUUCCCUGGGAAGGGGACAGACACACAGAACCGGUGGGAAGCGGGGGUCGCCCCCCCUACUCGAUAUACCACCAAGGAUGAGACAGCUGGGGCACUGAGGCAGCUUGCACAGGCUGGGAACGGACGCUUCCACUGGAUCAGUGAGACUGGCAUCCUGGACAGUGAUGACAUCAGUGCUCUUAUUGCAGAAAUGGAGAAGGCAGCUAGCUACUGGCAAAAGAGCUCCAUGUUGGUGGAGUCCCUCAUCCAGAGGGCUGGCUGCCAGUGUCCAGGGAAUGGUGCUGCAGCACCAAGCCCUGUGGUCUGGAGGCAUAAAGAUGGACCUUUACCCCCUCCCAGGCCUACAACUCUCUCUCUGGCUAGGCUGAAAAGCAAAGAGAGCGGAAAAGAGUCCUCCCGGGAUGCAGUCCUCACCUGGCGCCCAUGCAGUGCCAAGGCUGCCAUCCCCCCAGCACAACCUAUGAUUGGAUGGAGUCCAGUGGGAGCCAACGUCAAGCAGAAGAAGGAACUUGAGGUUUCCCAGUCUGUAUUUUACCUGGAAGAUGGGAACAACUUUGGUGUGGUGUUUAAGUCCUUCCCCAAACCCAAAAGCGCCUGGAAGUCUUACCCUCCGCUGACCCUGCCUAAGCAAGAACAGAUAUGUUCUACCAAACAGUGGCUGAAGCAUUUUGGGAUUAAGAAGCUGAAGUUGGACCUUCACAGACUGGUAUCAGGACCUGACUGUACCCAUCAGAAGAAUCUGAUCCCAACAGUUUACAAGACCGUCUCUUCCAAAUACUGCUCCUCCUUCCCCAGUGUCCACAUCAACGGGGCGAUCAGGCACCUCCUGCUGACCCCAAAAGAGCUGCACCAGUACUUGACCCAGACAGAGAGGCUGCUGCAGCGCUACACACAGAGGCUCCGCUGGCUGCUCUCUGGUAGCAGGAGUAUGUUUGGAGUGGUGUUGGAGAGGGAGGUGUGCAUCCUGCUGGAUGUGUCUGGCUCCAUGGCCAUUCACCUGGGGGAGUUGAGAAAGCAUCUAGCCUGUUUGGUCUGGGAUCAGCUGUAUCGCAACAGAGUCAGGUUCUCUCUGCUGGCAUUCUCGGAGGAGGUGAAGGUGUGGCGCCCCACCCUGCAGGAGCCCUCGGAGGAAGCGUGCUGGGACGCUGUGCUGUGGGCAGGGCAGCUGAUCACCCACGGAGGCACCAGGACCUUGGAAGCCCUACAGACUGCCUGCGGGUUUGGAGAGAGGCUGGGCAUGUAUGUGCUCAGCGAUGGGAAGCCUGACUCCAGCUGUAGCCUGGUCCUCACAGAGACAGAGAAACUGACCUCAGGGAAACACAUCACCAUCCACACUGUCUCCUACAACUGCACAGAUAGUGUGGCCAACGACUUCCUGAUGAAGCUGGCCCAUCAGACUAGUGGUCGGUACCACCUUUGUCCUGACGAUGCAGAGGCACUCAUCAUUGGGGAUUUCCUGUCCAUCGACAGUGAUGGAGAUGAACCAGUCCUUCCCUCCUUUGAGGGAGAUGACUUAAGGAGUCUAGCACAGGAAAUAGAAAAAUUAAGAUGUUUCCGGAAACAGGCCUUGGCCUUCAGAGAAAUCAUCUCAGUGAAGAAGCAUCCAGAAACAAAAUAAUAUUGGCAACAAGAUUCAUGGUUACCAACUGUACAGAGUGCAGAGGAAGACUUUGCUUUUUUAUGUAUGGUAAGACCACAGAUGAUUGGCAGGUGGAGGGAGGUAUAUGCAGACCUUUGGGACAUAGGAGAGUGGUCCACGGAAAAGGUACAGAGAAUAUUUGUUUUCUGUUAACUCAAUGGAUUUAUGACACACGGAGGAUAGGCGAAAUGGUUAUCAACAUUUGAAUAUGGAUGUUUUGAGACGUGCGGUACUAAUCUGAGUCACGGAGUGUCUUGGACAUAGUGAUCGAAAUGAUCGAAAUAGGAUACUGACAUUCCGAAAAUGAGACAAACGUUACAUUCUACUGAAUUGGAUCGAAUACAACAUCAACGAUCAUUCGUUAUGUUUUCGUUUCGGUUUAAUCUCAUUUUAAACC